CACAUGCAAGUCGAGGGGCAUCAGUUUGGUUUGCUUGCAAACCAAAGCUGGCGACCGGCGCACGGGUGAGUAACACGUAUCCAACCUGCCUCAUACUCGAGGAUAGCCUUUCGAAAGAAAGAUUAAUAUCCGAUAGCAUAUAUUUCCCGCAUGGGUUUUAUAUUAAAGAAAUUCGGUAUGAGAUGGGGAUGCGUUCCAUUAGUUUGUUGGCGGGGUAACGGCCCACCAAGACUACGAUGGAUAGGGGUUCUGAGAGGAAGGUCCCCCACAUUGGAACUGAGACACGGUCCAAACUCCUACGGGAGGCAGCAGUGAGGAAUAUUGGUCAAUGGACGCGAGUCUGAACCAGCCAAGUAGCGUGAAGGAUGACUGCCCUAUGGGUUGUAAACUUCUUUUAUAUGGGAAUAAAGUGGUCCACGUGUGGAUUUUUGUAUGUACCAUAUGAAUAAGGAUCGGCUAACUCCGUGCCAGCAGCCGCGGUAAUACGGAGGAUCCGAGCGUUAUCCGGAUUUAUUGGGUUUAAAGGGAGCGUAGAUGGAUGUUUAAGUCAGUUGUGAAAGUUUGCGGCUCAACCGUAAAAUUGCAGUUGAUACUUGAUAUCUUGAGUGCAGUUGAGGCAGGCGGAAUUCGUGGUGUAGCGGUGAAAUGCUUAGAUAUCACGAAGAACUCCGAUUGCGAA
rnacentral:rRNA from 1 species